UACGUUGGGUGCGAGCGUUGUCCGGAAUUAUUGGGCGUAAAGGGCUCGUAGGCGGUUUGUUGCGUCUGCUGUGAAAGCCCGGGGCUUAACCCCGGGUCUGCAGUGGAUACGGGCAGGCUAGAGUCCGGCAGGGGAGACUGGAAUUCCUGGUGUAGCGGUGGAAUGCGCAGAUAUCAGGAGGAACACCGGUGGCGAAGGCGGGUCUCUGGGCCGGUACUGACGCUGAGGAGCGAAAGCGUGGGGAGCGAACAGG
rnacentral:rRNA from 1 species